UGAGUAACACGUAUCCAACCUGCCGUCUACUCUUGGACAGCCUUCUGAAAGGAAGAUUAAUACAAGAUGGCAUCAUGAGUCCGCAUGUUCACAUGAUUAAAGGUAUUCCGGUAGACGAUGGGGAUGCGUUCCAUUAGAUAGUAGGCGGGGUAGCGGCCCACCUAGUCUUCGAUGGAUAGGGGUUCUGAGAGGAAGGUCCCCCACAUUGGAACUGAGACACGGUCCAGACUCCUACGGGAGGCAGCAUG
rnacentral:rRNA from 1 species